rnacentral:rRNA from 1 species
AUGAAUUGUAUGAGCUGGAACUGUCGAGGGCUUGGGAACCCAUCGACAGUUCGAGAGCUUCGCAAGAUUGUGAAGCAAGAAGGGCCCUCCCUCCUCUUUGUCAUGGAAACAAAGAUUAGGGGACACCGUGUGGAGACCCUGAAAUCUGUUCUAGGUUUCAAAGCUUGUUUCGCGGUGGAUAGCGAUGGUUUAAGUGGUGGCAUUGGCUUGUUCUGGACUGAUGAUAUACAAGUGGAAUUGAAGAACUAUAGCCGGGUGCACAUCGAUGUACUCGUAAGGGGGCAUGACAGUGGGGUGCCUCCUUGGCGGUUUACUGGUUUCUACGGAGCACCUCGAGUGGAGAAUAGGCAUCACAGUUGGGAACUCCUACAGAGACUGUAUGGUAUUAGGCAUGAUGGCUGGAUUUGCAUGGGUGAUUUUAAUGAGACUAUGUACGGCGGGGAACACUUUAUUGUGCACGCCCGACCAUAG